UACGUAGGGUGCAAGCGUUGUCCGGAAUUAUUGGGCGUAAAGAGCUCGUAGGCGGUUUGUCGCGUCUGCCGUGAAAGCCCGGGGCUCAACUCCGGAUCUGCGGUGGGUACGGGCAGACUAGAGUGAUGUAGGGGAGACUGGAAUUCCUGGUGUAGCGGUGAAAUGCGCAGAUAUCAGGAGGAACACCGGUGGCGAAGGCAGGUCUCUGGGCAUUAACUGACGCUGAGGAGCGAAAGCAUGGGGAGCGAACAGG
rnacentral:rRNA from 1 species